rfam:Streptomyces griseoruber strain DSM 40281 genomic scaffold PRJNA299232_s001, whole genome shotgun sequence.
ACGCCGUCCCGAGCGGCGAUUCUGGCCUCGCAGGGCCAAAGCCGCGGGGGUGGUGCCGUGUCGGCGCAGCACCACCCCCGCACC